rnacentral:rRNA from 1 species
AUGAAGGAAAAAUAUCAUGGCAAGGAUCAAAUCCAUACGGCCAGUGGUGAAGGUAUGGGUAUUCGUCACAUUGGUCAUUCAAUUAUUAAUACCCCUAGUCACAAAAUACAUCUCAAAAGAAUCUUGCAUGUUCCUAGUGCCCAUAAAAAUCUUCUGUCUGUUCAUAGAAUCGCCAUUGACAAUCAUGUUUUUCUCGAGUUUCAUCCUUAUUUCUUUUUGAUCAAGGAUCAGGCCACGAGGAAAGUUCUUUAUCGAGGUAGAUGCGUUCGAGGGCUCUACCCGUUGAUUCGAAGUUCAGAAGAUCCAAUAAACAAGCUUGUGGUGCUAUCAAGCUUUCGUCCACACGGUGGCACGAUCGUCUAG